AGAGUGAACGUUGGCGGCGUGGAUUAGGCAUGCAAGUCGAGCGAUCGUAGCAAUACGGGAGCGGCAAACGGGGUAGGAAUACAUCGGAACGUACCUUUUGGUUGAGAAUAGCGUUGGGAAACUGACGGUAAUACUCAAUAAAGUCGAGAGACCAAAGGUUUACUGCCGGAAGAGCGGCCGAUGCGAUAUUAGGUAGUUGGUGGGGUAAUGGCCUACCAAGCCUGAGAUGUCUAGGGGGUGUGAGAGCAUGGCCCCCACCACUGGGACUGAGAUACUGCCCAGACACCUACGGGUGGCUGCAGUCGAGGAUCUUCGUCAAUGGGCGAAAGCCUGAACGAGCGACGCCGCGUGCGGGAUGAAGGCCCUUGGGUUGUAAACCGCUGUCAGGGGGGAUGAAACCGUAAGGUUGACAGAGCCCCAGAGGAAGCACGGGCUAAGUUCGUG
rnacentral:rRNA from 1 species